CCUACGGGGGGCUGCAGUAAGGGAUAUUGGUCAAUGGGGGAAACCCUGAACCAGCAACGCCGCGUGAGGGAAGAAGGUUUUCGGAUUGUAAACCUCUGUCAGCGGGGAAGAAGAUGACGGUAGCAGAGGAGGAAGCUCCGGCUAACUACGUGCCAGCAGCCGCGGUAAUACGUAGGGAGCGAGCGUUGUCCGGAUUUACUGGGUGUAAAGGGUGUGUAGGCGGCUUGGCAAGUCAGUAGUGAAAUUCCUGGGCUCAACCCAGGAACUGCUAUUGAAACUGUCGAGCUUGAGUGAAGUAGAGGUAGGCGGAAUUCCCGGUGUAGCGGUGAAAUGCGUAGAUCUCAGGAGGAACACCAGUGGCGAAGGCGGCCUACUGGGCUUUAACUGACGCUGAGGCACGAAAGCGUGGGUAGCAAACAGGAUUAGAUACCCGAGUAGUC
rnacentral:rRNA from 1 species